CCUACGGGCGGCAGCAGUGAGGAAUAUUGGUCAAUGGGCGCGAGCCUGAACCAGCCAAGUAGCGUGAAGGAUGACUGCCCUACGGGUUGUAAACUUCUUUUAUAUGGGAAUAAAACAGGGUAUGCAUACCCUCUUGUAUGUACCAUAUGAAUAAGGAUCGGCUAACUCCGUGCCAGCAGCCGCGGUAAUACGGAGGAUCCGAGCGUUAUCCGGAUUUAUUGGGUUUAAAGGGUGCGUAGGCGGGCUGUUAAGUCAGCGGUAAAAGCCCGGGGCUCAACCCCGGCGAGCCGUUGAAACUGGCUGUCUUGAGAUGUCGAGAGGUAUGCGGAAUGCGCAGUGUAGCGGUGAAAUGCUUAGAUAUUGCGCAGAACUCCGAUUGCGAAGGCAGCAUACCGGCGGCGAUCUGACGCUGAGGCACGAAAGCGUGGGUAUCGAACAGGAUUAGAUACCCUAGUAGUC
rnacentral:rRNA from 1 species